rnacentral:rRNA from 1 species
GGACUUGUCCGGCCUGGGUGGGAUCGCGGGCCGUUCGCGGUCCGCGCGCACCACCGGCCCGUCUCGCUCGCAACGUCGGGGAGGCGGCGCAAGAGCGUACACGUUGGGACCCGAAAGAUGGUGAACUAUGCCUGAGUAGGACGAAGCCAGAGGAAACUCUGGUGGAGGUCCGCAGCGAUUCUGACGUGCAAAUCGAUCGUCAAACUUGGGUAUAGGGGCGAAAGACCAAUCGAAA